CACUGACUCCCUCCCUGCAGAGUUCCAAGUGGGAAGUGGAACUUCAUUAAAACUGUAGCCUUGACUACCUUGGCUGGAAAUUACAAUGCAGGGUUUAUUACUUAGUGUGGUCCUCUGAUGUAUAUUUCACUUAUCAUAGAUUAUGAAUUAAUAGAGGCAUGAUUUUAGAUAAAGGGAUGGAAGGACAGAGAAAUAGAACCAUGGCAAGCAUGGCAGAGGAACCUCAACUCAGCAAAAAUGCAGUAUUUUCCCUGGGGAAGAACAACCCCAACAAAAAAUGGCUGCAAUAGAACAUGAGGAAGAUUUUGGCCUCUUUUCUGAGGAAAGCCUUGGCAGGUAUCAGAUGCUGCUGGGACCAUGGAUACCCUGCUGGGAAAUGAAAUACUCUUGCUAUUGCUAAAAUCCUGUGCUAUUUAACAAAACAGUGACCUGACCUAAAAGUGCUGCUCUCAAGGACACUUCAGAAGAUCCAGAGUUCUGAUGGGGCACUGUGCUCAUCUUCCUCUCCCAUCACAGCUGGGGAACACAAGACACUGUAUGAAACUCAUUUGCAUUAUACAAAGGAAAAGCAGGAAAACUAACCCUGGACCUAGUGGGGUGAUUCCCCUCUGGCACAGCACUGACCUCACUCAAAUACAUCAAAGAUGAGUUGGAGGCAGGGACUAUAAACCUCACUGGAUUCCUCUCAAAGUGAGAUAGCCAAGCAGUGUCAGGAGCACUUCCCAUUGUUAGAGCUGAGCUCCAGCAGUGCUCAGCCUUCACUUGAUGUGAGCUGACAGCCUCCAAGGAGUGAUCUGGGUGUACCACACAGCCCAGAGCAGGCCCAUCAGCACACAGACACUGAACUUUGGUAGAAAUAAGGUCAAUGGACUCUUCAAGGUCACUGUACUGAAAGAAAUCUUUGCUUUGGCGCCCCUGCGCAUCUGCCUCAACAAAAGCUUCGAGGCUUUUUAAGUCCAGGUGUUUACACCCAGAACUGGCAGUAUCCAUUCCAGUUCUCACCUUUUGGAAGGAAAUGGUGAUCCAGUUCCUACUAAGUGUCCCAAAAUCCAUCUGGCUCCCAGCACCUCUCCCAUCUGAUGGGAUGAGCUGCUGGUGUUGCUCUG